rnacentral:lncRNA from 1 species
GAAACCGGUUUAGUUGAUCAGAGUAUAAUUUGCUUUUUUCCACUGCGCUAAGCUGUGGUGCAUCCAUGAUUUCUUUCAUUCGCUGCUCGGCAUCAUACAUUGCAUUUACAAGCGGUGGUUGACGAUACGACUGUUUUUGUAUAAACUUUGCAAUCUCGCCGGGAAGUACGUUUGUCUUGAGUCGAUCUUGGUCACUCGUUGUCGGCUUUAAAUCCAACAUCAAAUACCCGUG